rnacentral:lncRNA from 11 species
GUCUGCUUCGACCCAGCUGUAGUCCGCACAUCAGCCGCAAAAGCCUGUGCUUUUGUGACUGGGUGUCCAGAUGUGCUCUCAGUCCCUUCUGGGAGAACACCCAGACACCCUAACCCCCUCCUCAAACCUCUUUAAAAAAGGGGGGGGCACACCGAUUUUCCUCCUCUCCCCCCUGCUCUCCUGGCGUAUCAUUCCUAAGUGCUAGGAGAGGGCCGGCAGAAGGGAAAUGCCAACCAGGAGCAACUUGAAUCGCUUCUGGAGUGAGAGAAUUGGCCGUCUGCAAGAAGCAUUGUAUCACCCAGAUUGCCUAGGCAAUGUUCAGCAAGACUUCAUUUCAUACAGCAUUUUCAACCCCAGAAUCAACCUUGGAAUGUGAAACACAAGAGACGUUUCAACAAAAGUAGAGAGCUCUAACACCACGGACUGAAUCAGAGCUUGGAAUCAUUACUUUUUUGAAUGACAACUCCCAGAAUUCCCAGGCCUUGAAAUAAAAACGUCUUUGCCGUCUAAAAAGAAAAGCUCUGCAACAUUUCAUAGUUCUAGGCUGCCUGCCUGCACUUGUAGGAUCUGUGUCACGCACAUAUAUUGAGUAGUUACUUACUUAUAUUAUGUGUCAUUUGAUUAGGCCUGUCAUUUUGGAUUUAUCAUUAAGGCAGCAGAAUUCUGAUCAAGAAUUUUCAGACACAGCAACCAUAUUUUGAAGCAAACGAAAGAGUUAGGAACAGCAGCUGGUAUUCUCAGGAAGGUUGCUGGGCAUCUAGUGCUCUGGGUGGACCUGUCAAUGUUGGUACAUUAUGCUGGGCUCUCCUGUCAAUCAGUACCCAUUCCAAGGGCACCUUGUGUUCAUAUUUAUUCUUUUUUGAGCUUCCUUCUUGAUUUCUAUAUGCUUUCCACUUUUAAAUAAAGGUUCUAAAACAUGACCUCUCUAAUGAAAGUUAACUAUAGUCUUUUGAGAUUCUUUAGGUAUUUAUGUUUUUAUCCAUUCUACAUUAUGCUAUAAAAGUAAUUAUUUUG